GACGAACGCUGGCGGCGUGCUUAACACAUGCAAGUCGACCGGAAAGGCCCAGCUUGCUGGGUACUCGAGUGGCGAACGGGUGAGUAACACGUGGGUGAUCUGCCCUGCACUCUGGGAUAAGCCUGGGAAACUGGGUCUAAUACCGGAUAUGACCGACUGUCGCAUGGUGGUUGGUGGAAAGCUUUUGCGGUGUGGGAUGGGCCCGCGGCCUAUCAGCUUGUUGGUGGGGUAAUGGCCUACCAAGGCGACGACGGGUAGCCGACCUGAGAGGGUGAUCGGCCACACUGGAACUGAGACACGGCCCAGACUCCUACGGGAGGCAGCAGUGAGGAAUAUUGCACAAUGGGCGCAAGCCUGAUGCAGCGACGCCGCGUGAGGGAUGACGGCCUUCGGGUUGUAAACCUCUUGCACCAGGGACGAAGCGUGAGUGACGGUACCUGGAGAAGAAGCACCGGCCAACUACGUG
rnacentral:rRNA from 1 species